rnacentral:rRNA from 1 species
GGGUCAGUAGGUUGGUCGUGCCACCGGUACGUACUGGUCUCACUGAUUCCUCCUUCCUGAAGAACCGUAAUGCCAUGAAUUUGGUGUUGCGGGGAAACAGGACUGUUACUUUGAAAAAAUUAGAGUGUUUAAAGCAAGCUAACGCUUGAAUACAUUAGCAUGGAAUAAUGAAAUAGGACGAUCGAUCCUAUUUUGUUGGUUUCUAGGAUUGACGUA